rnacentral:sRNA from 1 species
UGUUGUGUGACCCGCGAGCCUGCAACCCC